UGCUACAGGCUUAACACAUGCAAGUCGAGGGGCAGCAUGGUCUUAGCUUGCUAAGGCCGAUGGCGACCGGCGCACGGGUGAGUAACACGUAUCCAACCUGCCGUCUACUCUUGGACAGCCUUCUGAAAGGAAGAUUAAUACAAGAUGGCAUCAUGAGUCCGCAUGUUCACAUGAUUAAAGGUAUUCCGGUAGACGAUGGGGAUGCGUUCCAUUAGAUAGUAGGCGGGGUAACGGCCCACCUAGUCUUCGAUGGAUAGGGGUUCUGAGAGGAAGGUCCCCCACAUUGGAACUGAGACACGGUCCAAACUCCUACGGGAGGCAGCAGUGAGGAAUAUUGGUCAAUGGGCGAGAGCCUGAACCAGCCAAGUAGCGUGAAGGAUGACUGCCCUAUGGGUUGUAAACUUCUUUUAUAAAGGAAUAAAGUCGGGUAUGGAUACCCGUUUGCAUGUACUUUAUGAAUAAGGAUCGGCUAACUCCGUGCCAGCAGCCGCGGUAAUACGGAGGAUCCGAGCGUUAUCCGGAUUUAUUGGGUUUAAAGGGAGCGUAGAUGGAUGUUUAAGUCAGUUGUGAAAGUUUGCGGCUCAACCGUAAAAUUGCAGUUGAUACUGGAUAUCUUGAGUGCAGUUGAGGCAGGCGGAAUUCGUGGUGUAGCGGUGAAAUGCUUAGAUAUCACGAAGAACUCCGAUUGCGAAGGCAGCCUGCUAAGCUGCAACUGACAUUGAGGCUCGAAAGUGUGGGUAUCAAACAGGAUUAGAUACCCUGGUAGUCCACACGGUAAACGAUGAAUACUCGCUGUUUGCGAUAUACUGCAAGCGGCCAAGCGAAAGCGUUAAGUAUUCCACCUGGGGAGUACGCCGGCAACGGUGAAACUCAAAGGAAUUGACGGGGGCCCGCACAAGCGGAGGAACAUGUGGUUUAAUUCGAUGAUACGCGAGGAACCUUACCCGGGCUUAAAUUGCAGAUGAAUUACGGUGAAAGCCGUAAGCCGCAAGGCAUCUGUGAAGGUGCUGCAUGGUUGUCGUCAGCUCGUGCCGUGAGGUGUCGGCUUAAGUGCCAUAACGAGCGCAACCCUUGUUGUCAGUUACUAACAGGUUCCGCUGAGGACUCUGACAAGACUGCCAUCGUAAGAUGUGAGGAAGGUGGGGAUGACGUCAAAUCAGCACGGCCCUUACGUCCGGGGCUACACACGUGUUACAAUGGGGGGUACAGAGGGCCGCUACCACGCGAGUGGAUGCCAAUCCCCAAAACCUCUCUCAGUUCGGACUGGAGUCUGCAACCCGACUCCACGAAGCUGGAUUCGCUAGUAAUCGCGCAUCAGCCACGGCGCGGUGAAUACGUUCCCGGGCCUUGUACACACCGCCCGUCAAGCCAUGGGAGCCGGGGGUACCUGAAGUGCGUAACCGCGAGGAGCGCCCUAGGGUAAAACUGGUGACUGGGGCU
rnacentral:rRNA from 1 species